rnacentral:SRP_RNA from 1 species
GCCGGGCGCAGUGGCGCGUGCCUGUAGUCCCAGCUACUCGAGAGGCUGAGGUGGGAGGAUCUCUGAGCCCAGGAGUUCUGGGCUGUAGUGCGCCAUGCUGAUUGGGUGUCUGCACUAAGUUCGGCAUCAAUAUGGCGACCUCUUAGGAGUGGGGGACCACCAGGCUGCCUAAGGAGGGGUGAACCGGCCCAGGUCGGAAACGGAGCAGGUCAAAACUCUCGUGCUGAUCAGUAGUGGGAUUGCGCCUGUGAAUAGCCACCGCACUACAGCCUGGGCAACAUAGCGAGACCUUGUGUCU